ACAAAGAUGCCAGAAAUUUAUGGAGUUGAUUUAGGAUUAAUUUAUGACUAUUUUUGUAGUCUCUUUGUU
rnacentral:tRNA from 1 species